rnacentral:sRNA from 2 species
GCAUACUGCCUCCUGAGCCUCCCUAUAUUUUGGGCCGUUCGCUUCGCGAGCGGCCCUUUUUGCAUUUCAAA